rnacentral:lncRNA from 1 species
AGAGCAAGAGAAAGUCCAGGAGAGUUGAACAUGGAUUUGGCAAGAGAUUGAGCAAGUAGACGUGGUUGAGAAAUUGCACCAGCGGGCAUGUUGUUGUUGUUGCUGCUGCUGUUGUUGCUACUAUUGCUAUUGUUGUUAUUAAAUGGUAUAUCAGCAACAAUUCUUGCACCGCCGCCACCACCACCACCAGAAGUAUUAUCAAGAAAAUCCCCAAAAUUCAUGAAAUAAAACCAACACAGUCUCAAAGCACUUAGCUGUAUUUAUUAUUUGUAUAUAUAACAGAUUCAGUGUAUCUUUUGAGCUAAAAAUCAGCUAUAAACAGAGAAUAAGGAGUGAGGAAAAGGAAAAGUAGGGAGAAAAAUUAUGAGAGGUAGAGGAGACACAAGGACGAAUCCAAAUGUCUCCAACUUCCUCUCUAAUUUUUACUCUAAGAGAGAAGAAGAAGAAGAAGGAAAGAAAGCAAAACACCCUUUACUUUUGCUUCCGUUUAGUACUUCUUGCCUUUCUCUUCUCUAUACUUUCCUUAAAUAACAGUACCAAUUAAAAUUCCUCUUCUCUCCUUACCCUAAAAUAAAACCAAAAAAUAAAGGGGACCUUUUUCUGUAUAUAUCUAAAACCACUCUUAGUUGCAAAUACAAAAGCAGAAGCUUAAAAGAAUUGUUUAAGCAAGCAAAACCCUAGUUUUGAGGGUCUGUUUCUGUUUUGUUAUAUGUAUCUCUGCAUGCUUGACUUUAUUUUACAAAACAAAAAAAGAUAAACUUUUUGGUUCAUGACAUAAAAAAAGGAAAAGGAAGUGAGAGAGAGAGAAAAGAAGGCUUAAAAGGCUUUAUUUUUUCAGUUUUGCAAAGACAAGAGAAGAGACGAGAGAGAGAGAAAGGGAGGUAGAAUAGUAGAAACUAAUGGGAGAAAAAAAACACAAAAAGGUGAAGAUAAUGCGCAAUAUUGUGGACUCAUCGAAGCCUUACAUAUACAUACAUCCAAAACAGCACAGAAAAAGGUUUGGUUGACUCUUUCACUCACUACCCCCUCCACCCCCCUCCCUCUAAAUCUUAAAAUCUUCCGUGAAGACUGUGAAAAAAAUGUGUACCUCUUUUUAUCUUCUUUCUUUUGUUGAUUUUUCUAAGCUCAACUUUUACUGUAACAAAACAGAGAUUUAAGCAAGAAAAAGAUGAAAAGCCAGAGUGAAGACAGUUCAUUCAGAUCCCAAGAAUUUCUUUUACUUACACUUACACACACAAAAUUUGUUCUUUUUCUUCUUUUUCUGUUUUGUUUUUGUUGCCUUUUUUCCGUUUGGAUAUGUUGGGAUCUGGAAUUACAUGAAGAUUAUGAGAAUUAAUUACAGCAAGAUGACAAAUUUAAUACAGGAAACAGGGGUUUAUUAGUCAAUGAGUUUGUCACUCUUCUCUCACUGGAUUAAAAUAAGCAUAAAUAUUAGUAGUAGAAAAGAAUAAAAAAGAAGAUUCUUUCUCCUUUCUACUAAGAUUUUGUUCAACAUUGACUCCUUACUCUUGUGUGUGUAAGCAAGGAAUUGAAUUUAAUUUUAACCCAUUGACCGUCUUCCGAACUGUAUUUGUUGACGGAAUCCGGUGAGUUAAAUGACCGGUGACUCGCCUCUGACAUUUAUUACUCGUCCGUUCAAGCAAUAGUAUGGAUUUUUUUCACUUUUAAUUUGCGCCAAAAACUAUUUAUAUUCCAUAGUCGAAAAAGUAUAUAAAAUUUAUAUAAUUUUUGUAUAUAACAUACAUAAUGUAUACUAUAUACUAAAAAUAUAGUAUACAUAUUCGAUUAUUACUUUGAGAGCGGCUAUAUAAUAUUAUUUUUUCAAAUAGUUAGUUGGAUUUCUUUUUACUUUUGGCUCACGCCAUAAACUAUCAUUUUAUUUCGGAUGGUAAAAGUGUUUGGAAUUUUUACAUUCCUAUAUACUAUAUGAAACUAUAUUACCCUCCUUACUCAAGUUUUACUAUAAUUACAUUUUAUAUACCCAAUUACCAUUUAUGUACAUUUUAAGGUAAUUAAUGAUAAUAAUUAGUGUCCUAAAAUUAUUCUAACAUAUCUUCCACUCCCCCACGUUUCUCUCUUCACAUCCCCCCCAACGUAUCUUGCACAAGAGAGUAACAAUUCCACCAUUGACAACCAUUAAAAAACUUUGAAGCUUUGAAUUCGAAUUUGGGUUUUCAAAAAACAUUGUUUGUUUGGAUUGGAUUUUGUUGCAAAGAAUUGAGAAUUCUCUCUACGUCUCUCUCUAUCUCUCAAUUCCAAAUUUCAGUAAUGUAAAGCAAAGGAAAAGAGAGCAGUAAUUUCAUCAUUGACAACCAUUAAAAAACUUUGAAGUUUUGAAUUCGAAUUCGAAUUUUCAAAAAUCAUUAUUUGUUUGGAUUUGAUGUUGUUGCAAAUAAUUGAAAAUAUGGUUUGGAGUUUAUAUCUCAAUUUUGAGGGGGUUUUGAUGAAGAUUAGACUUGGUUUUAGCUGAAUUUCAGAUUGAAACUCGAAGAAGAAGAAGAAGAAGAAGAAGAAGAAGAAGAAGAAGACAUGACAUACAUUAUACUACAGAAAUUAUAGUAAAAUUGAAGAAAAAUUAUAUUCUGUUAUUUAUAUAUUUUUCUUUUAUUUAUUUAACUAUCGUAUGAAAGUUGAACAACAUUAU